GAAAAGGGCUUCUGUCGUGAGUGGCACCCGAGGACAGUACAUUUGCCCUGCAUGCGGAAUCGUCAUCAAGAAAUUUUGGAAGCAUAACACUUGUAAUAUUUGGGCAGCUUGUGAUCAUUGGUCCCGAAAAGGAAAAAACAGGGCAUGGGUCUGGUCAUGGGUCUCCAGCUGAGGCAGGGCAUCCUGGGAAUGGCCUUCCCUGUGCCCUC